AAAUCCUACAGUCAUUCUUCCACACAUAAAGGGAAAACGGACUCACUAGGAGGACCUAGACUCUUUCAGCUUGAACUGUUAACCAAUGGUGGAAAUGCAAGAAUGCUGAAGUUGUGCCUUCAGAGCCAAUAGAGUGGAUUUGUGUGUCCCACAUGACUGUGUUUCCCCUGUCUUUCACAUGGGCAGUAUUUAGUUCAAUUCAGAACUGCAGAUAGUAUAGCGUGCAGAGCAGCAAUGGGAUGUCUGAGCACAAGUGGCUGACUUCCAGGCGACUUCAAGAAGUGCAUUUGUACAUUUCUGCCGAAUUAAAUUGGAAUUCUGCACCCUUGACAUCCUCCUACCCUCCUGGUCUCUGCGGAAGGAGACAGCAACCUGCGCAGCACAACAAAACUAGAAAUCAUCACAGAAUUGCAGAAGAGCAAACGAAGUGAGCUGAGGGCAAUUCGACUGUCUUCUCUGUCAGUUCCCCAGAAGUCUAUGAAGCAUAUUACUCGGUCUCCAAGAAAGAUGUUUGGAGAACUGCCAGCUUCUUGCACGAAGAUUGAAACAGGAUGGGCAGAAAAGGGUGCUGGUGUGGACAUUUAAGGACGCUGUCAAGUCAAUGGAGUUCUGUUGUAGUGGUUGCUUCAGUGAACAUUCAACGCUGUCGGCCUUCACACCGAAGAUAGAAACCUAACCAGCACAUGAGGUUUCUCCCCCACCCUGCCCAGCUUUACAUAAAAAGGUCACAAUCAACAUUCAUUGCUGUCGGUGGGUUUAACUAUGUGGACAAGCUCACUGAACAAUGAAUGCAACUGUGGCCCCACAUUUUACAGUUGCCAUUGAGAGGAACAUCAGCUCUGAAAGGAGUAGUAAGAAGCAGACACUUCUUAUAGGCUACUUUUUUUUCUGGUCGAGAAAUAGUUGAGGAUACUCAAUUUUCACUUCCUUGUUUUUAAGUGACUUUUUUCUGGAAUAUUGUCCUUGCAGAGUUUGGCAUGGUUGAAACCAUAAAAAUCCUUGUUUAAUAUGUAUGUAGAAGCAAAUAAUAAGGAACUUUGUGUAUAUGUACUCCUCAAGACUCAGCAUAGGAGGGAAAGGGUAUUUAAAUCUCAUCUAAACUAGGCAUUGUGGAACAGUUCACAAAAAUGCCUUUUACACUUGUCAAGACAAAAAUAGAAAUGAAAGCCAGAAUUAAAAUAUAUAGAUGUAUCAAAAAAUUAGUUUUGCAUAAAACUAAUCUUAUGCACCUAAAUCAAUGGUGUUAGCAAAUAUUAGAUUUGCCUUUUCUAGUGGUCAGAGGGAUUACAGAAAUAGAUGUAUAUCCAGUAACUAUAAUUGAACAAUGAACAGUUAAACUGUAAAAUUACUGUUUACUUCGGGUACCAAUGUCACACUUAGUAUUGCUAAUAGUAAUAAGAAAAUAAACAAAAUUAAAGCUCA